ensembl:lncRNA
CCGGGACAUCUGGGUUCCUUCUGGCAAUUCUAUCUCCAGGCCCCUGCAAGGGGGCAGGGCCCAUCUCAACAACCCAUCUUCAAGAUCAUCUCCCUCCCCAGGCCCAAGAGAUAAAGCAACCAGAGGUCCGGCUGCUCCCGCUUCUUCAGCUCCAGGCAGAUUCUUUACCACUGAGCCACCGGGGAAGCCCUGCCAUUGCACCAGGGUCCACCCUAAUCCAGUGUGACCUCAUCUGAACUCGAUCGCAGCUGCAGAGAUCCUGGUUUCUGAGUAAAGUCACAUUCACGGGCUUGUGCAUCUGGGUGGAGUUGAUGGGACGCCGAGCUCCAGUCUGGCUGGUUCACCAUCAGACCCAGGGAGAGCGGUUGGAGGAGAAAGGCUAGAAGGGCAGUCAGAUGAGACGAGGAAGCGUCUGGGGUGUGUGGGUAAGGAGGUUGCUCUUUUUUUGACGGGCGAUGGGACCACUGAAGGCUCUAACCCGGACCUAGUGCACAGUCUGACUUGGAGCGCAG